rnacentral:rRNA from 1 species
UGGCGGCGUGCCUAAUACAUGCAAGUCGAACGGUCUUUCUAUGGAAGCUUGCUUCCACUGGGAAGAUAGUGGCGAACGGGUGAGUAACACGUGGGUAACCUGCCCAUAAGAGGGGGAUAACAUCCGGAAACGGGUGCUAAUACCGCAUAGUUUUCUUGAUCGCAUGAUUGAGAAAGGAAAGACGGCCUUUGUGCUGUCGCUUAUGGAUGGACCCGCGGCGUAUUAGUUAGUUGGUGAGGUAACGGCUCACCAAGACGAUGAUACGUAGCCGACCUGAGAGGGUGAUCGGCCACAUUGGGACUGAGACACGGCCCAAACUCCUACGGGAGGCAGCAGUAGGGAAUCUUCCGCAAUGGACGAAAGUCUGACGGAGCAACGCCGCGUGAGUGAAGAAAGGUUUUCGGAUCGUAAAACUCUGUUGUCAGAGAAGAACAAGUUGGAGAGUAACUGCUCCAGCCUUGACGGUAUCUGACCAGAAAGCCACGGCUAACUACGUGCCAGCCGCAGC